rnacentral:misc_RNA from 1 species
AACUUUGGACAAUGGAUCACUUGGCUCUCGCAUCGAUGAAGAACGCAGCGAAAUGCGAUAAGUAAUGUGAAUUGCAGAAUUCAGUGAAUCAUCGAAUCUUUGAACGCACCCCGCGCCCUUUGGCUAUUCUGAAGGGCAUGCCUGUUUGAGUAUCAUGAACACCUCAACUAUCAUGGUCCGCUAUGAUGAGCUUGGACUUUGGGGGUGUUGCCGUCCCAGUGUCGGCCCCUCUCAAAUGGAUUAGCUUGCCAGUGUUUGUUGGAGUGACAGGUGUGCUAACUAUCUACGCUUGUGGUUUUCUGCCAUAUAAGCUUCUGUGGUGGAGGUUCUCUGGAGCUCACAGAUGUCUCUCCUUGGGGAGGACAGCUUUUGAACGUUUGAUCUCAAAUCAGGUAGGACUACCCGCUGAACUUAAGCAUAUCAAUAAGCGGAGGCU